CUUCAUGUUAGGAUAAGCCCUCUGCCUCUAGUGCCAUGUAUAAGAGUUUUAGUUCAAACAGCUGAUCUGUAUGUAUUUCAAACAAAUGCAUUUCUCUUUAUAUCUGCCCUUUCCCCCACCCUUUUGGAAAUGGCAUCUUCCAUUUCUCUGGCAGCGCCUGGCAAUAAAGCAGAACCAUGCACCCAGCAACACCUUUGAUCUCGACCAUAUGGAGUUCCUCCUUGCUCUUGAAAAAAUCUCCCUUGUCUCCGAGAGAAACUGGGGCCCCCAGAUGGCCACAUACCACUCCUGACCACGACUUCAUUGAUUAUGCUAUUUUCUGAUUGGUCCUGAUUGAAAAUAAAUAAAACGUGCCUUUGGAAUGGGAUGCA
rnacentral:lncRNA from 1 species